rnacentral:rRNA from 1 species
CAGAUUGAACGCUGGCGGCAGGCCUAACACAUGCAAGUCGAACGGUAACAGGAAGCAGCUUGCUGCUUUGCUGACGAGUGGCGGACGGGUGAGUAAUGUCUGGGAAACUGCCUGAUGGAGGGGGAUAACUACUGGAAACGGUGGCUAAUACCGCAUAACGUCGCAAGACCAAAGAGGGGGACCUUCGGGCCUCUUGCCAUCAGAUGUGCCCAGAUGGGAUUAGCUUGUUGGUGAGGUAACGGCUCACCAAGGCGACGAUCCCUAGCUGGUCUGAGAGGAUGACCAGCCACACUGGAACUGAGACACGGUCCAGACUCCUACGGGAGGCAGCAGUGGGGAAUAUUGCACAAUGGGCGCAAGCCUGAUGCAGCCAUGCCGCGUGUAUGAAGAAGGCCUUCGGGUUGUAAAGUACUUUCAGCGGGGAGGAAGGUGUUGUGGUUAAUAACCGCAGCAAUUGACGUUACCCGCAGAAGAAGCACCGGCUAACUCCGUGCCAGCAGCCGCGGUAAUACGGAGGGUGCAAGCGUUAAUCGGAAUUACUGGGCGUAAAGCGCACGCAGGCGGUCUGUCAAGUCGGAUGUGAAAUCCCCGGGCUCAACCUGGGAACUGCAUUCGAAACUGGCAGGCUUGAGUCUUGUAGAGGGGGGUAGAAUUCCAGGUGUAGCGGUGAAAUGCGUAGAGAUCUGGAGGAAUACCGGUGGCGAAGGCGGCCCCCUGGACAAAGACUGACGCUCAGGUGCGAAAGCGUGGGGAGCAAACAGGAUUAGAUACCCUGGUAGUCCACGCCGUAAACGAUGUCUACUUGGAGGUUGUGCCCUUGAGGCGUGGCUUCCGGAGCUAACGCGUUAAGUAGACCGCCUGGGGAGUACGGCCGCAAGGUUAAAACUCAAAUGAAUUGACGGGGGCCCGCACAAGCGGUGGAGCAUGUGGUUUAAUUCGAUGCAACGCGAAGAACCUUACCUGGUCUUGACAUCCACAGAACUUUCCAGAGAUGGAUUGGUGCCUUCGGGAACUGUGAGACAGGUGCUGCAUGGCUGUCGUCAGCUCGUGUUGUGAAAUGUUGGGUUAAGUCCCGCAACGAGCGCAACCCUUAUCCUUUGUUGCCAGCGGUCCGGCCGGGAACUCAAAGGAGACUGCCAGUGAUAAACUGGAGGAAGGUGGGGAUGACGUCAAGUCAUCAUGGCCCUUACGACCAGGGCUACACACGUGCUACAAUGGCGCAUACAAAGAGAAGCGACCUCGCGAGAGCAAGCGGACCUCAUAAAGUGCGUCGUAGUCCGGAUUGGAGUCUGCAACUCGACUCCAUGAAGUCGGAAUCGCUAGUAAUCGUGGAUCAGAAUGCCACGGUGAAUACGUUCCCGGGCCUUGUACACACCGCCCGUCACACCAUGGGAGUGGGUUGCAAAAGAAGUAGGUAGCUUAACCUUCGGGAGGGCGCUUACCACUUUGUGAUUCAUGACUGGGGUGAAGUCGUAACAAGGUAACCGUAGGGGAACCUGCGGUUGGA